rnacentral:rRNA from 1 species
UACGUAGGGGGCGAGCGUUGUUCGGAUUUACUGGGCGUAAAGAGCGCGUAGGUGGUUCGAUUAGUCGGAGGUGAAAUCCCUCGGCUCAACCGAGGAUCCGCGUCCGAUACUGUCGAACUUGAGUGCAGGAGAGGAGAGCGGAAUUCCCAGUGUAGCGGUGAAAUGCGUAGAUAUUGGGAGGAACACCGGUGGCGAAGGCGGCUCUCUGGACUGCCACUGACACUGAGGCGCGAAAGCUAGGGGAGCAAACGGG